GACGAACGCUGGCGGCGUGCUUAACACAUGCAAGUCGAACGGAAAGGCCCUGCUUUUGUGGGGUGCUCGAGUGGCGAACGGGUGAGUAACACGUGAGUAACCUGCCCUUGACUUUGGGAUAACUUCAGGAAACUGGGGCUAAUACCGGAUAGGAGCUCCUGCUGCAUGGUGGGGGUUGGAAAGUUUCGGCGGUUGGGGAUGGACUCGCGGCUUAUCAGCUUGUUGGUGGGGUAGUGGCUUACCAAGGCUUUGACGGGUAGCCGGCCUGAGAGGGUGACCGGCCACAUUGGGACUGAGAUACGGCCCAGACUCCUACGGGAGGCAGCAGUGGGGAAUAUUGCACAAUGGGCGGAAGCGUGAUGCAGCAACGCCGCGUGCGGGAUGACGGCCUUCGGGUUGUAAACCGCUGUCGCCUGUGACGAAGCGUGAGUGACGGUAAUGGGUAAAGAAGCACCGGCUAACUACGUG
rnacentral:rRNA from 1 species